rfam:Triticum aestivum genome assembly, contig: Triticum_aestivum_CS42_TGACv1_scaffold_003448_1AL
GCCCUGAUCGGAAACCAGGACGGGACUAAGGAG